GCAUAUUAUUCUAAGAAAAUGGAUAAGCCCACAAACCCACGACUCCCAUCUCUAAGUCUCAGGUGACUCAAAAGAAACCUACCCCAAAUCCAGGCGUGCAAGAUCUACAGCCGCCGCCCCCAAUGGAUCAUUCCUCUCCGGCGAGCUGUUCUGCUACCCUCUCCAAGACAAAUCCCCCGCCACCCUUUCUGCCUUCAUCUUCCCCCGUCUGGGUACUCUCCUCCACAGCCCCGAUUUAGUGCUUGGUGUUUCUCGCCUGAGACAAAUCAGAGCCUAAGAAACCGGUAUUAGUCUCAUCCAUCUCCCAUUAGGUGAUCCAGGAUGGAUUUUAUGGUGCUGAUGAAUGAAUGUGCCCCAAUAGUUCGCGUCUUAUUUAAAGCGCAGAAACAUAAUAUUAAUCCAAGGAUAUCUGUCAAGCAAAAGGAGACCCCAAGUUCUACAUAUGAGAAGAGGCUGCCUUGAAAUAAAGAGGAAAGAUGGAGCAUUUUCCUGCACCAGGACAGAUAAAUUAACCCGCCUACUGCGUUUUUUUAUAGUAAAACUUGUAUUUCUGAAUGAUGUUAUCUUAAGCUGGAAUAUUAAUGUGGAAAUGUGAUGUAUUCAAGGCUAACGGCUAUUAGCUCUCUUGCAGGACUGCAGGAAAAAAAUGUAGAACUGUUACGAGUGGUACGUCCAAUAUUUCGCACAUAUAUUCUUUUUGCAUAGUGUACUGAUUCAAAUGCAGAGGAAACGACUGAGGUUUUUGGAUGCAAAUAAAUGACAUUUACAACUGCAGUGGACCUGGAUAAGAUACUUGAUGUCCGCAUGUCGAAACUUCUUAGAUAGUGCCCAAUAUUUAGCGACAGAAAAAUAUGAAAAUGUAUGUGAAUUUGUACAAAUUUUAAGUGUGUAUGCACCUUGUGCAUCCUUGAACCUAUCGCCAACUUCGCCUUCUCUUUAAUUAUUGAAUUACUUGUCACUGA